rnacentral:misc_RNA from 1 species
CCGAGGAAUCCGGUGCCGCGGGGGAAGACGAUGACGGGGAGGACAACGACGAAAAGCCGCGGCCUGAGCCGGUGGCCGCCUCUGGGUUCGAGUUCGCGUCGCCGCCGGAGGGCUACGUGGAGCCGGCCCCGUUCGACGAGCUGCCCCCGGAGUCGCCCGAGGACGUGGCAGCGGCGUACGAAGCGCUCUACGGGCCGGCCUUUAGCGGCGAGACGGUCAUGGGCAACAACGUCUUCGAGGUCAAGGUGGUGGAUCCCGUCGACAUGGACCGGGAGCAGCGCCCUAGCGACGAGUUCAGCGAGCGGGUCGUGCAGGUCAAUCGCGUCACCAAGGUCGUCAAGGGCGGGAGGCAGUUAUCCUUCCGUGCGAUCGUCGUCGUCGGCGACAUGAAGGGCCACGUCGGUGUGGGCGUUGGCAAGGCCAAGGAGGUCACCGAGGCCAUCACCAAGGCCGCCAUGAACGGCCGUCGCAAUCUCGUCACCGUGCCGCUCACCAAGUAUUCGACCUUCCCGCAUAGAGCAGAUGCAGACUAUGGAGCAGCCAGG